rnacentral:rRNA from 1 species
GUGAGUAACACGUAAGUAACCUACCCUUAGACUGGUAUAACCCUGCGAAAGUGGGGCUAAUUCCAGAUGGCUUCCGCGCAUGUAAAUCCCGGCUAAAGGAUGGGCUUGCGGCCUAUCAGCUAGUUGGCGGAGUAACAGCCCACCAAGGCUAUGACGGGUAGCUGGUCUGAGAGGAUGAUCAGCCACAAUGGAACUGAGACACGGUUCAUACUCCUACGGGAGGCAGCAGUGAGGAAUUUUCCGCAAUGGGCGAAAGCCUGACGGAACGACGCCGCGUGGGCGAUGAAGUCUUUCGGGAUGUAAAGCCCUGUCGGAGGGGACGAUUGACGGUACCCUCAAAGGAAGCCACGGCUAACUACGUGCCAGCAGCCGCGGUAAUACGUAGGUGGCGAGCGUUGUCCGGAAUCAUUGGGCGUAAAGCGCGCGUAGGUGGUUUUGCAAGUUGGAUGUAAAAGGCUACGGCUUAACCGUGGCAUGCAUCCAAAAC